AUACGGAGGGUGCGAGCGUUAAUCGGAAUUACUGGGCGUAAAGCGUACGUAGGCGGUUUGCUAAGUCAGAUGUGAAAGCCCCGGGCUUAACCUGGGAACUGCAUUUGAUACUGGCAGACUAGAGUAUGAUAGAGGGGGGUAGAAUUCCUGGUGUAGCGGUGAAAUGCGUAGAUAUCAGGAGGAAUACCAGUGGCGAAGGCGGCCCCCUGGAUCAAUACUGACGCGGAGGCACGAAAGCGUGGGGAGCGAACAGGAUUAGAAACCCUAGUAGUCC
rnacentral:rRNA from 1 species